AGUGAACGCUGGCGGUAUGCCUAACACAUGCAAGUCGAACGGCAGCACAGUAAGAGCUUGCUCUUACGGGUGGCGAGUGGCGGACGGGUGAGGAAUACAUCGGAAUCUACUUUUUCGUGGGUGAUAACGUAGGGAAACUUACGCUAAUACCGCAUACGACCUACGGGUGAAAGCAGGGGAUCUUCGGACCUUUCGCGAUUGAAUGAGCCGAUGUCGGAUUAGCUAGUUGGCGGGGUAAAGGCCCACCAAGGCGACGAUCCGUAGCUGGUCUGAGAGGAUGAUCAGCCACACUGGAACUGAGACACGGUCCAGACUCCUACGGGAGGCAGCAGUGGGGAAUAUUGGGCAAUGGGCGCAAGCCUGAUCCAGCCAUACCGCGUGGGUGAAGAAGGCCUUCGGGUUGUAAAGCCCUUUUGUUGGGAAAGAAAAGCAGCAGGUUAAUACCCCGCUGUUCUGACGGUACCCAAAGAAUAAGCACCGGCUAACUUCGUG
rnacentral:rRNA from 1 species